rnacentral:rRNA from 1 species
CAAGUCGAACGGGAUCCAUCAAGCUUGCUUGGUGGUGAGAGUGGCGAACGGGUGAGUAAUGCGUGACCGACCUGCCCCAUACACCGGAAUAGCUCCUGGAAACGGGUGGUAAUGCCGGAUGCUCCGACUCCUCGCAUGGGGUGUCGGGAAAGAUUUCAUCGGUAUGGGAUGGGGUCGCGUCCUAUCAGGUAGUCGGCGGGGUAACGGCCCACCGAGCCUACGACGGGUAGCCGGCCUGAGAGGGCGACCGGCCACAUUGGGACUGAGAUACGGCCCAGACUCCUACGGGAGGCAGCAGUGGGGAAUAUUGCACAAUGGGCGCAAGCCUGAUGCAGCGACGCCGCGUGCGGGAUGACGGCCUUCGGGUUGUAAACCGCUUUUGAUCGGGAGCAAGCCUUCGGGUGAGUGUACCUUUCGAAUAAGCACCGGCUAACUACGUGCCAGCAGCCGCGGUAAUACGUAGGGUGCAAGCGUUAUCCGGAAUUAUUGGGCGUAAAGGGCUCGUAGGCGGUUCGUCGCGUCCGGUGUGAAAGUCCAUCGCUUAACGGUGGAUCUGCGCCGGGUACGGGCGGGCUGGAGUGCGGUAGGGGAGACUGGAAUUCCCGGUGUAACGGUGGAAUGUGUAGAUAUCGGGAAGAACACCAAUGGCGAAGGCAGGUCUCUGGGCCGUUACUGACGCUGAGGAGCGAAAGCGUGGGGAGCGAACAGGAUUAGAUACCCUGGUAGUCCACGCCGUAAACGGUGGAUGCUGGAUGUGGGGCCCGUUCCACGGGUUCCGUGUCGGAGCUAACGCGUUAAGCAUCCCGCCUGGGGAGUACGGCCGCAAGGCUAAAACUCAAAGAAAUUGACGGGGGCCCGCACAAGCGGCGGAGCAUGCGGAUUAAUUCGAUGCAACGCGAAGAACCUUACCUGGGCUUGACAUGUUCCCGACAGCCGUAGAGAUAUGGCCUCCCUUCGGGGCGGGUUCACAGGUGGUGCAUGGUCGUCGUCAGCUCGUGUCGUGAGAUGUUGGGUUAAGUCCCGCAACG